UGCCUUUUUUUAUAAAACAAGUAUCACCAAAAAGAGUUAUAUCUUUGAAAGAGCAGAUAGCUUGCAAACAGGAUGAGUUAG
rnacentral:lncRNA from 1 species